CCCCCAUUUUCACGCCUCCUCAUCUUUGCAGCCAUGCAUGGCUAUUUUCCACAUUUAUCCAGGUAUAUCCAUCAGCAUUGGCUAAGAAAAACCGUAAUUUUUGAAUCGGAUCAUCGUGGACCGGAGCUCAUGCCAUUUCCAUCAAAUUAAACAGUACCUUUCUCUCUCUGAUUAAUAGUAUUUUCAGCCUCCAAAUCUGACCGUCA
rnacentral:lncRNA from 1 species